GAAGCAUGGGGCAGAAAUGGAGACUGAACAGGGACUAUAUGAAGUCAACACCAAGAGUCACCUCUGAAGAGACAGGAGACUAGGUGGGACUUAAGGAUGAAAAUGAGCUCAGCAUUAAAGGAGAAGAGCAGAAAAAUCAAGGUUCUAAACCCAACAACAUGACUUCUUCAUCACUGCCUGUCUAUACAGACCUCCAGGUCUCUAUGGUUGGUACUUGGAUUAAAGCAUACAAGUCCCAGUCAGCUAAGCUCUCAAUUUACUCUGCACACCUCUGAAAUGCCUCACUUCCAGCUCCUCAUGGAAACAUGUUCUUCGGAUCAUUCUGAGUCUUGCUCUAAUGUCCUCCUCAGAAAGGCCUUGUUCGACCACCCCUGCUGGAUAUUUCAACCCUCUGCUAUCAGCUCAUCUGAGGUCUGUUGACAUGCUCCCUCUUUUAAUGAACUAAAACCUCUACCAGGUCAGGACCAUAUC